rnacentral:rRNA from 1 species
GAGUACGUGAAACCGUUUAGGGGUAAACCUGAGAAACCCGAAAGGUCGAAGGGAGAAAUUCAUUCGCGUUUCGCAAUCGGCGAUUGGCUGUCGUGUGACGGAAGCGUCAUUUGUCGUUUUCGCACCUUCAGUUAGUCGAACCGGAUGCGAACGCGUGCACUUUUCUCCUGGUAGGACGUCGCGAUCCGUUGGGUGUCGGUCUACGGCUCACGGUGGAGCCCGCUUGUCGUUUUUCGAAACGUGUACGAGCGGACCCGUGUGAUUCCCGGCCGACUCGCUCGACGGUAUACAAAAGGUUCGGAGCCGCUCUAGAAGCGUUCGGCUCGCGGCAAGCGCGUCAGAUGUAGUUGGCGAUCGGACCUAGUGCCGAUUCUAACCGUCUGCGACUGUUGGCCGCGAAGUUCUCGAACAGACUCCGUUUCUUGCGUUUACGCCAGAAACUAUAAACCGAUCUGCGACGCUAUAGCUUUGGGUACUUUCAGG